AUUGAUUUUAUGCUUGCAUAAAUGAUUUUUUGGAUUCGGAGCGAGUGGCGAACUGGUGAGUAACACGUGGGUAACCUGCCCCGAAGCGGGGGAUAACAUUUGGAAACAAGUGCUAAUACCGCAUAAUUAGUUGGAACCGCAUGGUUCCAACUUGAAAGAUGGCUCUGCUAUCACUUUGGGAUGGACCCGCGCCGUAUUAGUUAGUUGGUGAGAUAAAAGCCCACCAAGACGAUGAUACGUAGCCGACCUGAGAGGGUAAUCGGCCACAUUGGGACUGAGACACGGCCCAGACUCCUACGGGAGGCAGCAGUAGGGAAUCUUCCACAAUGGACGAAAGUCUGAUGGAGCAACGCCGCGUGAGUGAUGAAGGUUUUCGGAUCGUAAAACUCUGUUGUUAAAGAAGAACAAGUGUUAGAGUAACUGUUAACACUUUGACGGUAUUUAACCAGAAAGCCACGGCUAACUACGUGCCAGCAGCCGCGGUAAUACGUAGGUGGCAAGCGUUGUCCGGAUUUAUUGGGCGUAAAGCGAGCGCAGGCGGUUUUGUAAGUCUGCUGUGAAAGCCCUCAGCUCAACUGAGGAAGUGCAGUGGAAACUACAAAACUUGAGUACAGAAGAGAAAAGUGGAACUCCAUGUGUAGCGGUGAAAUGCGUAGAUAUAUGGAAGAACACCAGUGGCGAAGGCGGCUUUCUGGUCUGUUACUGACGCUGAGGCUCGAAAGCAUGGGUAGCGAACAGGAUUAGAUACCCUGGUAGUCCAUGCCGUAAACGAUGAAUACUAGGUGUUGGAGGGUUUCCGCCCUUCAGUGCCGCAGCUAACGCAUUAAGUAUUCCGCCUGGGGAGUACGACCGCAAGGUUGAAACUCAAAGGAAUUGACGGGGGCCCGCACAAGUGGUGGAGCAUGUGGUUUAAUUCGAUGCUACGCGAAGAACCUUACCAGCUCUUGACAUCUUCUGCCAACCCAAGAGAUUGGGCGUUCCCUUCGGGGACAGAAUGACAGGUGGUGCAUGGUUGUCGUCAGCUCGUGUCGUGAGAUGUUGGGUUAAGUCCCGCAACGGGCGCAACCCUUAUUAUUAGUUGCCAGCAUUUAGUUGGGCACUCUAGUGAGACUGCCGGUGAUAAA
rnacentral:rRNA from 1 species